rnacentral:misc_RNA from 1 species
AAGUCGUAACAAGGUCUCCGUAGGUGAACCUGCGGAGGGAUCAUUACCAGAGAUGGCGGGCCCCCGGGCCCCCGUCCCCAACCCUUUGUUGACCAAACCACUUUUGCCUCGGGGGCAGAGCGGCCUCCGCCGCCCCCGGUGGACCAUUCAACCCUGUCUCUGUACGUCGGAGUCUUUGAUGAAUAAAUGAAAACUUUUAACAACGGAUCUCUUGGUUCUG